ensembl:snRNA U2 U2 spliceosomal RNA
AUAAAUUUUUUCGAAAGAAAAAUCUGUUCUUAUCAGUUUAAUACCUGAUACGUCCUCCAUUCGAGGACUUUAUAUUAAACGGAUUUUUAGAGCGAGGAGCUGGAAAGAGGGCUUGCUCCGUCCGCUCCACGCAUCGACCUGGUAUUGCAGUACCUCCAGGAACGGUGCACCUUUU